GUCAGCGUAGGGUGUGUAAGUGAAAGGCUAUUUGCUACGAUAACUUGGUAUUCGCAGGUUCAAGUCGAAUGUUCAAGCUGCAUAGUAGGUACAUAGUUAUGAUGAUCUGAUCACGAUAACAAACUUCAAGAACAUUUUCAGUUCAAGCUGCAUAGUAGUUAUGAUGAUCUGAUCACGAUAACAAACUUCAAGAACAUUUUCAAUCAUCGGUCAAAGAGCUUGUGCUAAUGUAUGUACUUGCUGAUGCCCUUCUAGAGCUACUUAUCGCGAAGAUGCACUUGCAAGUGUUACUGAAAUUUUGCAUCUCAUUGUCUUUUUAUCCAUUUU
rnacentral:lncRNA from 1 species